rnacentral:lncRNA from 1 species
AAUAUUUACACUAGUAGAUACCACAAAAUCUUUAUGUUAUACUUAAUGAAAAUAUAAAUAAACUCUAAGUGUUAGUGAAAUUAUCAUUUUGAUGGGAUAUGCAUUAUACGAAGCUAGUUUCACCAAUCCAACCGUCAAACUUGUUUGUAUAUUUGUCGAGAACACAUAAGCCAAAAAUCGUAAAAAACAAACAUUUAGAUAUCAAGUAAUGGGACAAAACUUUUCAACGGUUAUAAACAAAAAAUCACGAUUUAACGUUAAUUUUAACUCCGAUUUUGAUGAUUUUUUACAACUACACUCCUUGACCGUAUAUGAAUACAAUCAAUGAAUUCGAUCUUCAAUUUAAAAUAUUUACACUAGUGGAUACCACAAAAUCAUUAUGUUAUACUUAAUGAAAAUAUAAAUAAACUCCAAGUUUUAGUGAAUCUAUUGUUUUAAUGGGAUACGCAUUCUACGAAACUAAUUUCAACAAUCGAACCGUCAAAACUUAUUUGUAUAUGCUU